GACGAACGCUGGCGGCGUGCUUAACACAUGCAAGUCGAACGAAGUGGCGAACGGGUGAGUAACGCGUAAUCAACCUGCCCUUCAGAGGGGGACAACAGUUGGAACCGACUGCUAAUACCGCAUACUGAAGGAGGGGAUUGCGUGUGAUUAGCUAGUUGGAGGGGUAACGGCCCACCAGGGCGGUGAGCAGUAGCCGGUCUGAGAGGGUGAACGGCCAAAUUGGGACUUAGACACGGCCCAGAAUCCUACGGGAGGCAGCAGGGGGGAAUCAUCCGCAAUGGACGAAAGUCUGACGGAGCAACGCCGCGUGAGUGAUGACGGGCUUCGGGUUGUAAAGCUCUGUUAAGCGGGACGCGGUACCGGAAUAGAAAGCCACGGCUAACUACGUGCCAGCCGCCGCGGUAAUUC
rnacentral:rRNA from 1 species